UCCAAUAACCGAAGGGUUGGCGGUUCGAAUCCCACUCUGUCCUUGCUGUUUUGUCCUUGGGCAAGACACUUCACCCACCUUGCCUCCACUGUCGCUCACACUGGUGUAUGAAUGCUAAUGAAUGCUCGGUGGUGGUCGGAGUAGCCGUUUGGCAUGAAUUGGCAGCCACGCUUCUGUCAGCCUUCCCCAGGGCAGCUGUGGCUACAAAUGUAGUUUACCACCACCAGAGUGUGCAUGUGAGAG